UGCACCUCAUUACUCUGUGGUAGCUUGUUUCGUGCAAACAAUUGCUGGUUUCUAGCAUAACAAGGAGGCCCGUGGUGUCUGUAUCGAACAUAUUCCUCAGAGAAUGAGAAAUCUCCAACCGGGAAAGAGGAGAUUCUUGUUAAGGGCCUAAUUGCCCAUAAAUGUCAUUAAGUCAAGAAACAUUUUCCACCAAAUUAACUUUGACUCAUGAUGUCUAAUUAGCAGGAGAAGCUGGAAGAUAACAACUUAUCAGUCACUGUUUAAGAAAACAUGUUUAACGGGUGACUUUU
rnacentral:lncRNA from 1 species